GGUACCUACGGGAGGCAGCAGUAGGGAAUAUUGCUCAAUGGGGGAAACCCUGAAGCAGCAACGCCGCGUGGAGGAUGAAGGUUUUCGGAUUGUAAACUCCUUUUUUUAGAGAAGAUAAUUACGGUAUCUAACGAAUAAGCACCGGCUAACUCCGUGCCAGCAGCCGCGGUAAUACGGAGGGUGCAAGCGUUACUCGGAAUCACUGUGCGUAAAGAGCGCGUAGGCGGGAUAGCAAUUCAUAUUUGAAAUCCUAUUUCUUAACCAUAGAACUGCAUUUGAAACUGUUAUUCUAGAGUAUGGGAGAG
rnacentral:rRNA from 1 species